GGGCGCGUAGCUCAGUUGGAUAGAGCGACUGACUACGGAUCAGUAGGCCGUGGGUUCGAAUCCUGCCGCGCCCGCCA
rnacentral:tRNA from 1 species